UUGAAUGCAAAUGAGGUAAUUUACAGUUACUUCCACCCCUGUAAGACUGCCUGUUUUCCUAGCCUAGGCUCAUAACUCUAUGAAAACCCAGUGCUCCUUGCGGGACCCUCCCAACUCAGGAUAUUCGGUGAUUCUCUGACACCGUUAAUCACCUGGGGUUAGAGCCUGGCCAUUGAAAGUCUACACAGAGAGAGUUUUAUUCUCAUUUUCAAAUAGCUGGCCCGGGUACCAUUCUCGCUCUCUGUCCCCCGUUACAAUGUCUGACUUUCAGAGAUUUUCAGCUUUGCACAUGAAUGGAUACCCUUCUAUUGAGGCCUUUCUGUUGGGGGAUGAAACAAACCAACUGCAAAAGAAUACCACGGAAUUCACUUUGUGCACUAUCUCUGCAAAGUUUUUUUUUUUUUUUUUUUUUUUUUUUUUUUUUUUUUUUUUUUUCCCUGAGACUCCAUGGGGAAAAAAAAAUCAGAAGCUUGAAACGUCUUGUGCAAAACAUUCAGAAUAGACAGGACAACCCAGCAUUCCUCACAGUCGGCUCUACAAUAAAACUGCACGCAAAUCUCUUACCAACUACACACUUUCUUACCAAAGAUGGAGUGUAAAAUAAGUUGCUAUAAUUCUUCUGAAGCCCAUCUGUGGUUAUGAAGAUAAAA